GCUUCGUGCGUCGGUAUGCCGUCCCACACCACGAUGCAGAUCACGAUAAAGGACGCCUUACACCUGUACGGGGGAGAGACAGAAGCGUGCGUUUCUUGUGGUUAGAAAUACGCUAUAAGUAUCGCACGACCCGACCAUAAACUCACCGAUGCCCUUGCCGGCGCUUCACCACAAACAGCAGCUUCUCCUCCGGGUCGACGCGCCGGAUCACCCACUUGGCGAUCGGGCAGCCCUGACUCGACUUGCCCUCCUUGCCGGUGUAGACGACCUUCUCGAUGCGCAGCUGUUUGCCGGUCAGGCCGACGCGCAGUUCCGUCUCCCGCCGCAGAUCUUCCAGUGUCGCUGCACAGCCUGUCGGAAGAGGUAAAGACCGGGACGUGUAAGAGCACGGGAAAAUGGUGAAAGGCAUUUUUCCCAGAGUGCAAUAUCCACCUCUCCAAUCACUUCCACUGCCACGGGUUCGGUGAAUGAGAGCACCAUCUGCACCGAAAAAAAGGAAAAACCACCAUUCACAUGCUGGCCUGGCCGUUCGUCACACACACCGACACACGGACACGGUAAUAAAUUACACACGUACACUCUAUCAUCGAGGAGCAUUCUUGCCUGCUUCUCCUUUUUUCGAGACGGCGGCGCGCAUAUCGGCCGCGAAGGAAUCCAUCAAAACGAUCGCAACGUCUUCUCCUUUGCCAGAGCAGUGAGAAGAAGAAGCAGCAGCAGCAGGAAUGGACCAUUAUAAAAGAUAUUUUCUUAUGGCGGGUCAUUUUCUUCUCCCCGGUGUCUUGUGCGCGCCGUUCUUCUAACACACACACCACACCACCAUGGCCAUUAUGCACGGCCCACAGAAAAGACAUUAGCAACCAUUUGCCUGCCAACAAAAGAGAGACACAACGAGAGAGAAAGAGAAGGAUAGAGCGAUACGUAAGGAAAGGAAAGCAUAAUACCUCAUUUGGGGUUGGGCACUGUGUUCUAGCCGCGAAAUAAAGCCCCCAACAAGAAGACGAAUCGAGUGUGUUGUGGUACAGUGAAGAAAAUGCUACGACUUUUGUGUGCCAAAAAAAAACUAAAUAAUAAUGUAAGAAGAAAAAGAAA